rnacentral:lncRNA from 1 species
UGUCGUAUUUCCUAAAUUAUUUUUUUUGCUACUUAUCUGAAGUUACAGAUUUUGCUGUAGCUAAAAAUGUCCUUGUAGCCCAAUGAACUGACAAGAGAACAAUUUCUAAAAAAGUUGUGCAUUACUUUUCUUAAAUCCUUGUCUCUGAAAGAGAAGUGAAUGCAAGUGAUGCUGAGAGACCUUCCCAAGAUUUAACAGAAGAUGUUGAAAGACAGCUUGUCAUAAGAAUUAAAACACCAACAUUGACCGUUCCAUCACUGUUAAAAAUCAAAGAACUGGAUAAUUUUCUUCUGUUUUCUGGCGUAUCGCACAGCCUUGCACUGUCAAAAAUGUCACAGGUUAAUGGUACAACUGAGCUCCAUUUAUCUUAUUCUGACAGCUUGUCCAAUGUUGUACGUCUAGCAAUGGCAUCUCUCCUAAAGUAAGUGACAUUUU